CUUAAUGUAUUUGGGUAUGAACACUUCACCAUUUUACAUGAAUUAUUUCGUAUACACUCGUGCACUUAAAAAUAACCAAUAAAAAUAACAAAACAUAACAGAAAAUUGAUAUAAAUAAUUGUGCAGUAAAUGUUACUAAUUCAAAAAGAAUACAAUCAAGAUUUAUACGAAGUUAAAAAAUAACAAAUAAUCAAGAACUGAUUACCGGUGAAGCAUGAGUUCAAACUAUACAACAUUAACAAACAAAAACAAUAAAAAAAAUUGAAUGAUGAAAAUAUAAAAUUGGUAUUAACAACCCUAUAUUUGGGUAUGAACACUUCACCAUUUUGCAUGCAUUAUUUCGUAUACACUCGUGCACUUAUAAUCAACCAAUAAAAAUAAUAAAAAAUAGCAUAAAAUUGAACUAAAGAAUUGUGCAGAAUAUGUUACUAAUUC
rnacentral:lncRNA from 1 species